rnacentral:rRNA from 1 species
UACAGAGGUCCCAAGCGUUGUUCGGAUUCAUUGGCGUAAAGGUGUGUAGGUGGCGCCGUAAGUCGGGUGUGAAAUUUCGGAGCUUAACUCCGAACUGCAUUCGAUACUGCGGUGCUUGAGGACUGAGAGAGACUGAUUCUCGUGUAGCGUGAAUGCGCAGAUAUCAGAGACACGAUGGCGAGCAGAUCUCUGCAUACUGAGCUGAGAGCGAAGCUGGGAGCGACAGAUAGACUGUAGUCAGAC